CCUACGGGCGGCUGCAGUGGGGAAUAUUGGACAAUGGGCGAAAGCCUGAUCCAGCCAUGCCGCGUGUGUGAAGAAGGCCUUCGGGUUGUAAAGCACUUUCAGUGGGGAAGAAAGCCUUGGGGCUAAUACCCUCGAGGAAGGACAUCACCCACAGAAGAAGCACCGGCUAACUCCGUGCCAGCAGCCGCGGUAAUACGGAGGGUGCGAGCGUUAAUCGGAAUUACUGGGCGUAAAGCGCGCGUAGGCGGUCUGAUAAGCCGGUUGUGAAAGCCCCGGGCUCAACCUGGGAACGGCAUCCGGAACUGUCAGGCUAGAGUGCAGGAGAGGAAGGUAGAAUUCCCGGUGUAGCGGUGAAAUGCGUAGAGAUCGGGAGGAAUACCAGUGGCGAAGGCGGCCUUCUGGACUGACACUGACGCUGAGGUGCGAAAGCGUGGGUAGCAAACAGGAUUAGAACCCGAGUAGUC
rnacentral:rRNA from 1 species